AAAUUGAAGAGUUUGAUCAUGGCUCAGAUUGAACGCUGGCGGCAGGCCUAACACAUGCAAGUCGAACGGUAGCACAGAGAGCUUGCUCUCGGGUGACGAGUGGCGGACGGGUGAGUAAUGUCUGGGAAACUGCCUGAUGGAGGGGGAUAACUACUGGAAACGGUGGCUAAUACCGCAUAACGUCGCAAGACCAAAGAGGGGGACCUUCGGGCCUCUUGCCAUCAGAUGUGCCCAGAUGGGAUUAGCUAGUUGGUGAGGUAACGGCUCACCAAGGCGACGAUCCCUAGCUGGUCUGAGAGGAUGACCAGCCACACUGGAACUGAGACACGGUCCAGACUCCUACGGGAGGCAGCAGUGGGGAAUAUUGCACAAUGGGCGCAAGCCUGAUGCAGCCAUGCCGCGUGUAUGAAGAAGGCCUUCGGGUUGUAAAGUACUUUCAGCGGGGAGGAAGGUGUUGUGGUUAAUAACCACAGCAAUUGACGUUACCCGCAGAAGAAGCACCGGCUAACUCCGUGCCAGCAGCCGCGGUAAUACGGAGGG
rnacentral:rRNA from 1 species